UACGGGGGGUGCGAGCGUUGUCCGGAAUCACUGGGCGUAAAGGGCGCGUAGGUGGUCUUAUAAGGGUGUGGUGAAAGCCCGGGGCUCAACCCCGAGUCGGCCGUGCGAACUGCUGGGCUCGAGCACUGUAGAGGCAGGCGGAAUUCCGGGUGUAGCGGUGGAAUGCGUAGAGAUCCGGAAGAACACCGGUGGCGAAGGCGGCCUGCUGGGCAGUGGCUGACACUGAGGCGCGACAGCGUGGGGAGCAAACAGG
rnacentral:rRNA from 1 species